rnacentral:rRNA from 1 species
AACGAACGCUGGCGGCAUGCCUAACACAUGCAAGUCGAACGAGACCUUCGGGUCUAGUGGCGCACGGGUGCGUAACGCGUGGGAACCUGCCCUUAGGUUCGGAAUAACUCCUCGAAAGGGGUGCUAAUACCGGAUAAUGUCUUAGGACCAAAGAUUUAUCGCCUGUGGAUGGGCCCGCGUUGGAUUAGCUAGUUGGUAGGGUAAAAGCCUACCAAGGCGACGAUCCAUAGCUGGUCUGAGAGGAUGAUCAGCCACACUGGGACUGAGACACGGCCCAGACUCCUACGGAAGGCAGCAGGGGGGAAUAUGGGACAAGGGGCGAAAGCCUGAGCCAGCAAGGCCGGUGAAUGGAUGAAGGCCUUAGGGUGGAAAAGCUCUUUAACCCGGGAUGAUAAGGACAGAACCGGAGGAAAAAGCCCGGGCUACCUCCGG